CCUACGGGGGCAGCAGUGGGGAAUAUUGGACAAUGGGGGGAACCCUGAUCCAGCCAUGCCGCGUGGGUGAAGAAGGCCCUCGGGUUGUAAAGCACUUUCAGUGAGGAAGAACGCCUGGUGGUUAAUACCCAUCAGGAAAGACAUCACUCACAGAAGAAGCACCGGCUAACUCCGUGCCAGCAGCCGCGGUAAUACGGAGGGUGCGAGCGUUAAUCGGAAUUACUGGGCGUAAAGCGCGCGUAGGUGGCUUGAUAAGCCGGUUGUGAAAGCCCCGGGCUCAACCUGGGAACGGCAUCCGGAACUGUCAAGCUAGAGUGCAGGAGAGGAAGGUAGAAUUCCCGGUGUAGCGGUGAAAUGCGUAGAGAUCGGGAGGAAUACCAGUGGCGAAGGCGGCCUUCUGGACUGACACUGACACUGAGGUGCGAAAGCGUGGGUAGCAAACAGGAUGAGAUACCCGGGUAGUC
rnacentral:rRNA from 1 species